ensembl:lncRNA
GCAGGAGUCAGCCUGUUUCUGUAGUGAGGCAGGAUGCUAGUCUAUCUCCUGUUUCUGUAGUGUGAGGCAGGACACUAGUCAAUCUCCUGUUUCUGUAGUGUGAGGCAGGACACUAGUCAAUCUCCUGUUUCUGUAGUGUGAGGCAGGACACUAGUCAAUCUCCUGUUUCUGUAGUGUGAGGCAGGACACUAGUCAAUCUCCUGUUUCUGUAGUGUGAGGCAGGACGCUAGUCUAUCGCCUGUUUCUGUAGUGUGAGGCAGGAUGCUAGUCUAUCUCCUGUUUCUGUAGUGUGAGGCAGGACGCUAGUCUAUCGCCUGUUUCUGUAGUGAGGCAGGAUGCUAGUCUAUCUCCUGUUUCUGUAGUGUGAGGCAGGACACUAGUCAAUCUCCUGUUUCUGUAGUGUGAGGCAGGACACUAGUCAAUCUCCUGUUUCUGUAGUGUGAGGCAGGACGCUAGUCUAUCGCCUGUUUCUGUAGUGAGGCAGGACGCUAGUCUAUCUCCUGUUUCUGUAGUGUGAGGCAGGACGCUAGUCUAUCUCCUGUUUCUGUAGUGUGAGGCAGGACGCUAGUCUAUCUCCUGUUUCUGUAGUGAGAGGCAGGACAGGACGCUAGUCUAUCUCCUGUUUCUGUAGUGUGAGGCAGGACGCUAGUCUAUCUCCUGUUUCUGUAGUGUGAGGCAGGACGCUAGUCUAUCUCCUGUUUCUGUAGUGUGAGGCAGGACGCUAGUCUA